UCCUCCUGCCUCCUCGUGUCAGCCGCCUUCUUCCUCCUCUCCACUUCUCUCGAUGCAAUCUGCUGGGAAAAGCCCAUUUAAGCAAGAUCUCAUUUGGGAUUCGGCUUCAUCGGUAAUCCUUCUCAUGGCUCCUCUAAAAAAGUCGCUGCAGCCUAAUUUGAAAAACAAGGGCUCAUUUAUUGAUGUUCCCUCUACUGACAGUCAAAGCUUAGAUUGCUCUAUGCAAGAAUCAACUAAAACCAGGGUAAGAUCGGGUAACUGGACAGAAAUAAUGGACUCCGCAAUGUUGAACGUAAUGAUAGAGGAGCAUACUCUUGGGAACUUUGUCAAUGGGAGUUUUACUCCAUUGGCAUGGACUAGAAUGAUUCGAGAUUUCAAUGAGAGGACAAAAUUGGGCUUUACCAAAGUUCAUUUGCAAAACCGUUUGAAAGUCUUGAAGCGUCAAUAUUUGAUGUAUCAAACUUUAGCCAACAAAAGUGGAUGGGGGUGGGAUUCCACACAAAAUAUUCCAACUGCGGGUGACUCCAGUGAUUGGGAUGCCAUUAUAGCGGAAAAUCCUGCUUAUGCUAAGUGUCGGGACAAACCAUUUCCGGCAUAUCAAUCUAUUGAAUUCUUGACUGGAAAAGGUACUGCAACCGGUAGACAUGGAUUUACUUCCCGAGUGGAGGUCGAGGAUGUUCGUAGCACCUCUUCCUCCUCUCCUGCUACGCAACCACUCAAUAUGGAAAACUUUGCCAAGAAUUUAGAGGACGUUAAUGACGCCAAUUCAACUUCUCCAACUCCGACUCCAAUUAAAGUAAGUACCCACUAUGAAGGUAGUGGCUCCGGCCGCACUUCAUCGUUGAAGAGGCCGCGAGUGUCACCACCAAAUCCUACACCAACUUCAAACCGUCGCCGAAAAGAUGACGGUCGAACGCAAGCAAUUUAUGAGCUCGUUGAAUUGGGAAAAAAAAGAACUGAAAUUGCACAAGCUAUAAUGGACCGUGAGUUACAAGCUCGGCCAAAAAUUCACUCAAUAGAGGAGUGUAUGGAAAGGCUCUCCACUGUUGCUCACUUGACUCCUGAUGGUUUACUUGCUGUGUGUGAGGCUUUAAAAGAUGAGCGCAAUAGGCCUAUUUUUAUGAAAUUGAGUGGCGAUAUGUUGUGCAUGUGGAUAGAUCGUCAAAUCGCCAUGCAACAAUUUUAUGCUGGACAAAGGCCUAUUGCAUCAUCAUUUGCACCUACUGCACCCUUUUUCACAGCAGCAUCUUCAUCCUUUACUCCUGGACCAUUUGCAUCCUUUCCACCUGCAAGUGCAAGCUUCCCACUUGGCACGCCCACUUUUCCUCCUGCAGGACCUUCUGGCUCUUCUAAUUUACCAUCAUUUUCGCCGGAAAGGCCAUCUUUUCCGCCUAAUUAAGUUCGUACUUUUGGAUUGAUGAAGAAACUUGCCCUUUUUUGGUGUUUGGCACUUCCUGGUUGUGCUACUUAGUACUAAUUAAGUGAGCACUUAUUAUCUAUUUUGUUUGCAUAAAGCUCUGAGAUGCUGCAUGUAUUAACUAAUGUACUCUUUCUAUUUUACAUGUACUCUAUGCUUUACUUAUAUGCUUUGUUAAGUUCAAACAGUAUGUCCACUAUGAAGGACUUGUAGGCUGAUCCAUGCUUUUUCAAUUUCUAUAACUGUUACUCUGCACAGCUUGCUUCUUCUCAACUUUUUAUUUGCUAGUCUUUACUUACCAUUGAUGAGCACAAGAGGUGAUUGGUAUGAAAGGUAUAAGUUUGGUUCAUUAGCUAAGCACUUGUUUCAAUUUCCUAUAUAUAUGCUUGCCAUACUUCUAUUAACUGUUGUGUUGUACCAUACUUUUGGAAUCCUAUUCCUAUAUAACCUGAUCUAUUUUCCUUCAUGGCCAGGUAUAAAAGGUAAUAUACUUUUGCCGAAAUGGAUGAUUAUUUGGUUCAAUCUUAGUAUGUAUAAGCUUGCUUCUUCUCAAGUUGUAAUACAAACGGUACGCGCUCCGGCAAUGAUGAAUAAAGCUAGCAACAGUCUUGAAUGGUUUGGGGGGCAAUAGGUGACCUAUUGCAGCCACCGUUCAGACUUGGGCCCUUUAUUACCUGAGCCAACACAUGAUUGUUCAGCUGCAAGGUGCAGUGUUAUUAAUCUCCAACUCUCUUCAAUACUCUACUUAUUGGGUUCAAUUGCUAUUAUUCGAGUCAUGGCUGGAGCAAACAAUCAGCGUGUUUUUUCUUCAACACUUGUUGCCGAUCUCAUGACAUUCUUAGAUGAGGAAGAAGAUUAUUGGGAAGAAGUGCAUGCCUUACUUAUCGAAGAGGGGGACUUUUCAUUCCACAACACUAUUUAUAGGCAGCCUUGUCGAACUCGGCCAUUUACUGGCCACGAGCUAAUUCAUGACAUAUUGCGUGGACACCCUGAUAGAGGUUAUCAACAUUUCAGGAUGACCACCACUAUGUUUACAAGGCUUCGAGAAGAACUGGUUGGAAGGGGUUUUAUACAAAAUACUAGGCAUUUAACUGCUGACGAGCAGCUUGGUAUAUUUCUAUUUGGUACAGGUCAUGCCGUGGCCAAUAGAGUUUUGGCGGAAACUUUUCAACAUUCUGGAGAAACGAUUAGCAGGCAUUUUAAUAAUGUACUGCGCGGCGUGGUUGAACUUAGGCAUGACUACAUCCAACUCCCACUAUCAAAUACAGGAGUACACCCUAGAAUAAAGGAAAAUCCGACAUUCUAUCCAUUCAAGAAUGCAAUUGGUGCAGUAGAUGGGACUCACAUACCGGUGGUUGUACGGAAGCAUAAGCAACCAAGAUAUCGGUGUCGAAAAGGAUUUACUUCUCAGAACAUGAUGGCCGCAUGCUCGUUUGACCAUCAGUUUCUAUUUGUGUGCACCGGGUGGGAGGGUUCUGCAGCUGAUAUGAGGGUACUGCGAUGGUGUUGCGAGAGUGGCGGUUUCGCUGUCCCGGAAGGAAAAUAUUAUCUUGUUGAUUCUGGAUAUGCGAAUACUGAUCACUUCCUCGCGCCCUAUCGAGGGGAACGAUAUCACUUGAGCCAAUUUGAUGUAAAUGCACAAGCCCGAAGGCAUCGAGGACCUCGAGAUUUAUAUAAUCAUCGUCAUGCUCAAUUGCGAAACGUAGUUGAGAAAGCUUUUGGGAUCCUAAAGAGGCGGUUCAAGGUGCUUCGACAAGCAACACCAUUUCCCUACAAGGUGCAGUGUCGCAUUGCCCUCGCAUGUUGUGUCAUACACAAUUUCAUCAAAAGACACCAAGGGACCGAUAGGUACUUCAACAUGCAAAUGGACUCAUUGCCGAUGGACGACACACUUGAUGAAUCAUCAGCUCCUGUUGGGCCAGACGAGUCUCGGAGAGGAGACGCCCUUCGCACUAUGAUAACAGGGCAACUUUGGAACAAUAGAUAGGAGGAAAAUAUUGAGAAUGAUGUAAAUUUGUUUUUUACUUUAUGCUUUUUUUUUUCCUUCUCAACUUAUGUGCUGUGUCUUUAAACUGAAGUUAUUGCGUGCUGUUUUCCAUAUCUUUGUAAUUGGAAGUUAAGUUAUGUUA